rnacentral:rRNA from 1 species
GAUGAACGCUGGCGGCGUGCCUAAUACAUGCAAGUCGAGCGAAUGGAUUAAGAGCUUGCUCUUAUGAAGUUAGCGGCGGACGGGUGAGUAACACGUGGGUAACCUGCCCAUAAGACUGGGAUAACUCCGGGAAACCGGGGCUAAUACCGGAUAACAUUUUGAACCGCAUGGUUCGAAAUUGAAAGGCGGCUUCGGCUGUCACUUAUGGAUGGACCCGCGUCGCAUUAGCUAGUUGGUGAGGUAACGGCUCACCAAGGCAACGAUGCGUAGCCGACAUGAGAGGGUGAUCGGCCGCACUGGGACUGAGACACGGCCCAGACUCCUACGGGGGGCAGCAGUAGGGAAUCUUCCGCAAUGGACGAAAGUCUGACGGAGCAACGCCGCGUGAGUGAUGAAGGCUUUCGGGUCGUAAAACUCUGUUGUUAGGGAAGAACAAGUGCUAGUUGAAUAAGCUGACACCUUGACGGUACCUAACCAGAAAGCCACGGCUAACUACGUGCCAGCCGCCGCGGUAA